rnacentral:lncRNA from 1 species
UCGCAAUUUAGGAAGGGUGCUCCAUCAUCAUUUCAUGAUUCUCACUACAGCCCAGACAGGUGGGCAGAGCAGUGUUCUUUCCCCUUUAAUGAAUGAAGAAGCUGAGCCUCAAACAGAUGAGGGGGCUUCCUGGGUUCACAGAGCUCUAAAGGGCUGAGCUGUAGAUCCACGGCCACCAUGAUGAGCUAAGAGUUUCUGGAUUCAGUGCCUGCUGUUGCUCCUGGAGAUUUGUAUCCUGAUUGAAGGCUGGUUCCAUAUCUGUUCACCCAGGUAGUGGGGAUAAAAUUCAUCUCUAAGCGAGCUACUCCCAAGAAAGAGAAGAGCAAUGAAUGCACCCUGG